rnacentral:ncRNA from 1 species
GCUGAACUGAAGCAUCUCAUUAAGCGGAGGAAAAGAAACUAACUAGGAUUCCCUUAGUAAAGGCGAUCGAAAAGGGAACAGCCCAACGUCUUAAUCCCGCAAGGGAAAUGUAGUCGGUUCACCUAUUGCACUGGUCUAAGUCAGAUGGAAUGCUGCGCGAUUCAGAGUAAAAGCCUCGUAUGACCAACCGCAAGCUUACGAUGGACCGGGGAGAGUCGGAUACUUUGAGAGUAGUGUCUUAAGGGGGUGGUAUGUCCCAUCCAAGGCUAAAUAACGUGAGGAGACCGAUAGAUUACAAGUAGUGUGAACGAAAGAUGAAAAGAACUCUAAAACAGAGGGUGAAAAGUUCCUGAACUUGCUUAGGGUUAAGGCUAUUUAUAGUACCCGUCUUGAAACACGGAUUAGGGAGUUUAUCUGUAGUGCGAGUCUUUGCACGUUAACUGUAAAGGCGUAGAGAAAGCAACUGGCGUUUGCAUGGCUACUGAGCAUUACUGAUAGGACCCGAAAGGUGGUGAACUUUGCCUGCACAGGUUGAAGUCAGGGGAAACUCUGAUGGAGGACCGUACGGGUUAUUGAUGUGCAAAUCAUUUUUCUGAUGUAGGUAAAGGUGCGAAAGACUCAUCGAACCACCUAAUAGCUGGUUUCCUCCGAAGUUUCUCUCAGGAUAGCUGUAAUGCAUUUAGUUAAGGGGAGUAGAGAUAUGGGUAGAGGUGCAGGGAGCCUUCGGGUUCUCAACUUAUUUCCAAACUUCGAACCUCCUUGUUAGGCAUUUACCUAACUGGAAAUGCUUAAAUGAAUUAGCGUUACAAGUGGGCUCUGACCGGUAAGCGGUCAUGGCGAAAUGGGAUGAACCAUACGUCUGA